GCGCUGCGGGGCAGGACACGCGUCAGCCGCCCCGGCCGCGCUCCCCCCGCACCGCCCGGACACAUCAGCAGGGCGGGGGGACCCCGCGGCCGCUCCCCCCGCCCGCCCCCUCGGGCCGCGGCACCCUGGGAUUUGUAGUCCCGGAGCCGCCCGCCCAUCCCCCGGCCCGACGGGGCCCCCGCGGUCCCGCACAUGCCGGUCCGGCACAUCCCGGCUCGGGCCAUCCCGCUCCGGCACAUCCCGGCUCGGCGCACCCCGGCCCGGAGCAUCCCGGCUGGCCGGAGCCCUGCUGCCCAUGGAAGCGGCUCCCGGGGCACGUCCCGCACGCCCGUCACGGCCGUGCCCGCUGGGAGCCGGGGGGGGACCCACGGGGGACCGCGACCACCGCGGCUGCAGCCUGCGGGUACAACCUAUGGGUGCCCCGCCUGCGAACAGCCGGAAAACCGCUGUGGGCGUGCAACCUGUGAAUGCACAGCUGGAAAACUACAGCCCGGGGAGCUACAACCUGUGGAUGCACAGGCGGCGCGCACACACAGCCUGGAGAUGGUGCACAGCCUGUGAACAGGCUGGGAGAGCAGCGUGCAAGAGCAGCCUGUCCCCGUACAGCCUGGCACACAGAGCCUGGCACACAGAGCCUGGCACACACAGCCCGCCGUGCCCAGGGGCUGCUCAGCGCUGGUGACACCGUGGGGAUGCCCGUGUCACUCCGUCUGUGUGACUGCGUGUGUGUGGCUCUGUGUGUGUCAUUCCUUGCGUGUGCGCGUGUGUCACUCCCUGUGUGUGCCCGUGUCACUCCCUGUGUGUGCCCGUGUCACUCGCUGUGUGUCUGUGUGUGACUCCCUCUGCGUGUGCGGCUGCAUGUGUGUCUCCCUGUGUGUGCGUGUGUCACUCCGUGUGCGUGUGUCACUCCUUGUGUGUGUCACUGUGUGUGUGUGUCACUGUGUGUGUGUGUCACUCCGUGUUCGUGUCACUGCGUGCGUGUCACUCCCGGCGCUGUCCCGGCGGGCGCUGCCUUGUGUCCGUGCACGACCGUGCCUGUGCACACGCGUGUCAUACGCGUGGCCGCCGCUGCCGCGGACACCGCGGGGGCCGUGCCGGGGCCGUACCGUGCCCGUAGCGGGGCCGUACCGUGCCCGUGCCGGGGCCGUGCCGGGGCCGUGCCGGGUGCGCGCUCCCGCGGGUGCCGCCGUGCCCGCGGUCGGGGGCGCGCGCCGCUUCCCGGCCCCCUCCCGCCCGCGCGCGCCCCCGCGCCGCCCCCGGAAGCGGGCGCGGGUCACGUGGGCGCGCGGCGCUGCCAUAAACACGGCAAGAUGGCGGCGCUCACGCCGCCCGCCCGCCCGUGCUGCGUCAUGUCGCGCCCCGGCCCCGCCGCGCCCGCAGGCUCGCCGUGAUUUGCGUUCAAGCCGCGCUGAGGAAGAUGGAAAUGAGGUUUGCUCCCCACACGCCUCAUGA
rnacentral:lncRNA from 1 species